rnacentral:tRNA from 1 species
UCCUUUGUGGCUCAGACGGUAAAGUGUCUGCCUUCAAUGCCGGAGACCCAGGUUCGAUCCCUGGGUCGGGAA